AGGUGAAACACGUCACUUCCGGUAGUGACUGAGCCCCGCGGCGCGCGCCGGCUCCGCCAGGAGCGUGGGGUUGCCACGGCAACCAGCGCGGACUGCCCUAGGGAUCCUCCGGAGUAGGAAGCUCCCGCGCCAGCUGCGCUCCGCGUUGGGAUAACAUUUAUUUAUAACUGCUGAUAGACUUUGGUGUUCUCGACAGUUCCAUAUCAGGAGUGAAUUAGAGGAGAGAAGCAGUGUGGUGCAGUGGGUAUUUUAUCCCCCAGCCUUCUAAGAUGGUAACCCAACUGGUGUCUAGAAGAUAAUUGCCUUUGAGGUUGUUUGACUUUCAUGAGAUGAAGCAAUUUCAAGUGUGACUCAUUUUAUCGCCUGG